rnacentral:rRNA from 1 species
GACGAACGCUGGCGGCGUGCCUAAUACAUGCAAGUCGAACGCUUCUUUCCUCCCGAGUGCUUGCACUCAAUUGGAAAGAGGAGUAGCGGACGGGUGAGUAACACGUGGGUAACCUACCCAUCAGAGGGGGAUAACACUUGGAAACAGGUGCUAAUACCGCAUAACAGUUUAUGCCGCAUGGCAUAAGAGUGAAAGGCGCUUUCGGGUGUCGUUGAUGGAUGGACCCGCGGUGCAUUAGCUAGUUGGUGAGGUAACGGCUCACCAAGGCCACGAUGCAUAGCCGACCUGAGAGGGUGAUCGGCCACACUGGGACUGAGACACGGCCCAGACUCCUACGGGAGGCAGCAGUAGGGAAUCUUCGGCAAUGGACGAAAGUCUGACCGAGCAACGCCGCGUGAGUGAAGAAGGUUUUCGGAUCGUAAAACUCUGUUGUUAGAGAAGAACAAGGACGUUAGUAACUGAACGUCCCCUGACGGUAUCUAACCAGAAAGCCACGGCUAACUACGUG